AGAGAAAUAGCUCAGUGGUAGAGCGCAUGUUUAGCAUGCAAGAGUACUGGGUUCAAUCCUCAGUACCUCCG
rnacentral:tRNA from 1 species